GACAGAGGGUGCAAACGUUGUUCGGAAUUACUGGGCGUAAAGCGUGCGCAGGCGGUUCUAUAAGACAGAUGUGAAAUCCCCGGGCUCAACCUGGGAACUGCAUUUGUGACUGUAGAGCUGGAGUACGGUAGAGGGGGAUGGAAUUCCGCGUGUAGCAGUGAAAUGCGUAGAUAUGCGGAGGAACACCGAUGGCGAAGGCAAUCCCCUGGACCUGUACUGACGCUCAUGCACGAAAGCGUGGGGAGCAAACAGG
rnacentral:rRNA from 1 species